GGAGUCUAGCAUGUGUGCAAGUCAUUGGGUAUUAUAAAACCUAAAGGCAUAAUUAACUUAACUGAUAAAUAUGGGAUCAAUUAUAUAUAUAAUAUUAUUAUAUAUAUAUUCCAUCCCGGGGCGUUCUAUAUAGUUAUGCAUUUUAAUAUAUUUUUAUAUAUUAUAUAUGCCUCUAACUAGAGCGUACCUUGAGUAUAUAUGUUGUGACCCGAAAGAUGGUGAACUAUACCUGAUCAGGUUGAAGUCAGGGGAAACCCUGAUGGAAGACCGAAACAGUUCUGACGUGCAAAUCGAUUGUCAGAAUUGGGUAUAGGGGCGAAAGACCAAUCGAACCAUCUAGUAGCUGGUUCCCUCCGAAGUUUCCCUCAGGAUAGCUGGUGCAUUUAAAUAUUAUAUAAAAUAAUCUUAUCUGGUAAAGCGAAUGAUUAGAGGCCUUAGGGCCGAAACGACCUUAACCUAUUCUCAAACUUUAAAUGGGUAAGAACCUCACCUUUCUUGAUAUGAAGGUGUAGGUUAUGAUAUAUUGUGCCCAGUGGGCCACUUUUGGUAAGCAGAACUGGCGCUGUGGGAUGAACCAAACGUGAUGUUACGGCGCCAAAAUUAACAACUCAUACUGAUACCAUGAAAGGCGUUGCUUGCUUAAAACAGCAGGACGGUGGACAUGGAAGUCGUAAUCCGCUAAGGAGUGUGUAACAACUCACCUGCCGAAGCAACUAGCCCUUAAAAUGGAUGGCGCUCAAGUUGUAUGCCUAUACAUCACCGCUAAAGUAUAUGAUUUAUUAAUAUAUUUUUUUUUAUAAAUUUUGAAACUCUAGUGAGUAGGAGGGUACAAUGGUGUGCGUAGAAGUGUUUGGCGUAAGCCUGCAUGGAGCCGCCAUUGGUACAGAUCUUGGUGGUAGUAGCAAAUAAUCGAAUGAGACCUUGGAGGACUGAAGUGGAGAAGGGUUUCGUGUGAACAGUGGUUGAUCACGAGUUAGUCGGUCCUAAGUUCAAGGCGAAAGCCGAAAAAUUUUAAGUUAUAUUAUAUAUUAAAUAAUAUACUUAUAAUUAUAAUUGAACGAAAGGGAAUACGGUUCCAAUUCCGUAACCUGUUGAGUAUACGUUUGUAAUUAAAAAUGGGCUUUUAUGCUCAUCCUGGUAACAGAAACAACCAUAAAGAAGCCGUCGAGAAAUAUCGAAAGAGUUUUCUUUUCUGUUUUAUAGUCGUACUACCAUGGAAGUCUUUCGAAGAGAGAUAUGGUAGAUGGACUAGAAGAGCAUGGCAUUUACUGCUGUGUCGAUAUUUUCUCCUCGGACCUUGAAAAUUUAUGGUAGGGUAACGCAAACUUCUUAACAGGCCGUACCGAUAUCCGCAGCUGGUCUCCAAGGGAAGA
rnacentral:rRNA from 1 species